rnacentral:misc_RNA from 1 species
UUAAUAUAUCGUUUGUUUGGUAUUCACAUGAAAAAUCAAGACACAUGCUUGCGGAUAUACAGAACCUUUCCAAGCACAAUAUCAAGCAAAACAACAAGGAUAAUGCCUCCUUGGGCAGGGGAACUGAUCAUCACCAAUCCACCAGCAUCAGGGAGCAAUGUCCUUGACAGCUUUGGGGCUUCGAGCUACUUAUGUUCUGAAACUGAAUCAGAGGAUGUAGACAUGAAAAAUGAAAAAUAAAUUUAUGGGUAG